UUUUACUUAAAAAUUCACGGAGAUAUUAAUGUUCAAAAUCGGAAGCAUAUUUUGGAAUGUGUCUAAAAUUAGCGAAAAUCGGCAUAUCAAAUAUUAACUCCCGCGUUUGUUUGCUUAAUGACAUAUCAGGCUAACUUGUAUUUCAGCGAAUUAUCGUUAGGAUUUGUAAGGGAUAUGGCGUAGAUUUAGACAUCUUACAUGUAAGUCUUAGCUCAUUGUUUCCUGAAAUAUGAACGUUCGAAAUUAUGCAAGUAUUUUAUAUUAGGUCUUUACGAACUUAAAAGUACACGAAAGACUGACCAUGGAAGGCAGGCGCUUAAAUUUUUCUUAAAUAGCCUAAUAUUUUAAGUUUUUAAUGGGUUGAAACAGACUGAGUUGAUUAUUUCUCGGUUAGAGCAGGAUGAAUGUUAUUCUUUAUUGAAGGAAAUAAUAUUGCUUUUUGCAAAUACACAUCACCGCAUCAACGCUACUAUUUUGUUACGUUUUGUUCCAAAAAUGUUGCAUGUCUCUGGGGAGUUGCUUAAUUGUUAUGUCUUAUGGGGUUAUAUGGUUUGAUUGUGUUUCAUAUAAUUCUCAGUUUACUCUGAACUUUCCAAGAUUAAGAAAAAGGCGAAAGAGUUUGGGUGUUCUUAAACAAGAUUUCAGAACGUUGCAGAAGUUAGAAGAGCUUCACAAUUCCUUUGUGACAGCAUGCCCUAAUUCAGAACUACGAACGAUCCAUGACGAUCCUUCGCGAUGUAGUGGUCUCAUGAAAUAAGGAAACGUAUUAGUACUAGGAACGCACGUGAAUUUCGGACGGAUAAAUCUUGCUUGUAUUUUGUAGAUAUAAUAAUACUUUGUUUCAUAAUAAACAAUUUGUCAAGUGUCAUUUAUUUACUGGUAAUAGUGCAUGUUUCAGUCGGGCAAAUCUUGAUUAAUAUUUGACACGCCGUUUUUUACAUAUUUCAGACACAUCCAGAAAUAUGCUCCCGAUUUUAAAGAUUAAUAUCUCCGUUAAUUUUUAAGUGAAAUACAACUGUAAUAUAUCAAAAUCUAAGUUAGUCCUACCUCUAUUUGAUGCAAGUUAUUUCUCUUUAAAAGCUUUACUUGUUUAGAAGUUAUUACGAAUCAAACAGGAGUACUUUAUUUUGGGACACCCGGUAGUUCAAUUUGCACCCCAGGUAAUUAUAGAUACUAGAUUCGUCAAAUGGUGAGAUAAUGAGCAUUUUUGCUGUAAAACACAGAUAAAGUAUAUAUCAUUUCGGACUUGUGUAAAAGUGUCAAUUAUCUGUCCAUUAGGCAAGAUAAAUAAUUUGUCAAAGUUGGACGAUAACCUUGCAUGGUGGACUGUUGUGUUUACAUAAUUCAAAGUCCAAGGCUGGUUCUUCUUUGACAUGAAAAUGUGCAUGCUUAGGGCGUUUCUGUCAAUCAUUCUUCGGUAUAUUUCGCGCGGUUGAGUAAUGAUAACAUUACGUCAUCAAAAUCUUGGUUCAAUAAAAUUGUAAGUAAAUUUAUUUUAGUAGGUAAAGUAAGGUUCACAUAGGUAUAGUUUGAAGUUUUUACUAUGAUAUUUUGAUAAGUAUUUUAAGUUGUGAACAUAUUUUAAUAUUGAUCGAUUGAACAGCGAACCAACUCGACAAGUGCGACAACGCCUUAAAUAAACAGAAUUUGAGAGCUGGAACGAGCUACCAACGCCAACCCACACUUUUAAACCUCAACGUUGAUUGGUUGGAUACAACUCACACCACUUGCUACAUCACGUGUACAAGAUCCCCUCAACCGUUAGUAUAAAAGUGCGUGUACAACCCAAAUUUGUCAGUGGAUGACCUCUCGGUGAGUGGAUGAUCUUUCAGUGCAUGAUAUCUCAGUGGAUUCUCAGUGAACUUUAGGAAACUACUACGAGAAGGCGACCAUUAUAUUAAGAACUGAUAGUUAUUAGAGGUUGAUUGUAACGAUUCACUACUUAAAUUAAAUAAAGCCUCGUAACAUUAUAAUUAGUUUAUGAAUAAACUCACACUUUCACUAUAGAGGUUCAGAUUUGAGUUCUACUACCACGAUCUCUGACUGCCUUAGUAUGCAUCUGAUUGGUUAUAAUGGUUGAUCGAAUAUAUCAAAUGCAUUUGAUUGGUUGAUGGUCCCUUAAUGGUAG
rnacentral:lncRNA from 1 species